rnacentral:rRNA from 1 species
AGUUUCUCAGACAGUUGGGAUGUUGGCUUAGAGGCAGCCAUCAUUUAAAGAGUGCGUAACAGCUCACCAAUCGAGAAACUUUGCGCCAAAAAUAUACGGGACUCGAAGCAUAAAACCGAAGUCACGGAUGUGUACUAUGUACACGUGGUAGGGGAGCGUUGUAUUUGCGCAGAAGGCGUACCGUAAGGAGCGCUGGAGCGGAUACAAGUGAAGAUGCAUGGCAUGAGUAAACGAUAAAAGAGGUGAAAAUCCUCUUCGCCGAAAACCUAAGGUUUCCAGGGUAAAGCUCGUCUUCCCUGGGUUAGCCGGUCCCUAAGCUGAGGCAGAAAUGCGUAGGUGAUGGAAAGCAGGUUAAAUAUUCCUGCGCUGUCUAAGGUUAUGACAAUGGAAUGACGGGGUAAGUGAAGUAUGCGAACUAAUGGAUGUUCGUGACACUAUGAGGCUGGCUUGCAGUAAAAUGCGUAAGCGAAAAGCUAGGUAGUGGACAAGGGGAAGAAAUGAACCGAUGAUAUGGAUCGAGCCUCCAAGAAAUAAUUUCUAGUCACCGAUGGCAACCGUACCAAAACCGACACAGGUGGGUGGGAAGAAGAUUCUCAGGCGCGCGAGAGAACUCUCGUUAAGGAACUCUGCAAAUUAUCCACGUAACUUCGGGAGAAGUGGAGCCAUUUUCGGUGAGUAUGAACAAUACAAAGCUGAGAGUGGCCGCAGUGAAAUGGCCCAGGCGACUGUUUAACAAAAACACAGCACUAUGCAAAGUCGUCUAAGACGCAGUAUAUGGUGUGAUGCCUGCCCAAUGCCCAAAGGUCAAAGGAAGAGGUUAGCUCGAAAGGGCGAAGCUUCGAACUAAAGCCCGGGUGAAUGGCGGCCGUAACUCUAACGGUCCUAAGGUAGCGAAAUUCCUUGUCGGGUAAGUUCCGACCUGCACGAAUGGUCUAAUGAGUUGAACACUGUCUCCUCCACGAGCCCGGUGAAAUUGUAGUAUCGGUGAAGAUGCCGGUUACCCGCCACGGGACGAAAAGACCCCGUGAACCUUCACUACAACUUUGCAUUGAUUUUGAGCACCAAAUGUGUAGGAUAGUUGGGAGACUGUGAAGCAGUGCCGCCAGGUAUUGUGGAGUCAACGUUGAAAUACCAACCUUUUGUUGCUUAGAACCUAACCCUGAACAAGGGGACAUUGCAUGGUGGGUAGUUUGACUGGGGUGGUCGCCUCCAAAAGAGUAACGGAGGCUUCUAAAGGUUCCCUCAGCACGCUUGGUAACCGUGCGUAGAGUGCAAUGGCAUAAGGGAGCUUGACUGAGAGACAUACAGGUCGAUCAGGUACGAAAGUAGAGCAUAGUGAUCCGGUGGUUCCGCAUGGAAGGGCCAUCGCUCAAAGGAUAAAAGGUACUCCGGGG